CCGACCUUAGCUCAGUUGGUAGAGCGGAAGACUGUAGUGGGGCGUAAGCCUUUCAGAUAAUCUUUAGGUCGCUGGUUCGAAUCCGGCAGGUCGGA
rnacentral:tRNA from 1 species